GGUGAAACAAUAGCAGCCCGUGUAGAGCUACAGCAGUGAAACAAUAGCAGCCCGUUUAGAGCUGCAGCAGUGAAACAAUAGCAGCCCGUUUAGAGCUGCAGCAGUGAAACAAUAGCAGCCCGUUUAG